rnacentral:sRNA from 1 species
GCGGACGAAUUCCAACACGAUGGACCA